GAUGAACGCUGGCGGCGUGCCUAAUACAUGCAAGUCGAGCGAACGGACGAGAAGCUUGCUUCUCUGAUGUUAGCGGCGGACGGGUGAGUAACACGUGGAUAACCUACCUAUAAGACUGGGAUAACUUCGGGAAACCGGAGCUAAUACCGGAUGAUAUUUUGAACCGCAUGGUUCAAAAGUGAAAGACGGCCUUGCUGUCACUUAUAGAUGGAUCCGCGCUGCAUUAGCUAGUUGGUAAGGUAACGGCUUACCAAGGCAACGAUGCAUAGCCGACCUGAGAGGGUGAUCGGCCACACUGGAACUGAGACACGGUCCAGACUCCUGCGGGAGGCAGCAGUAGGGAAUCUUCCGCAAUGGGCGAAAGCCUGACGGAGCAACGCCGCGUGAGUGAUGAAGGUCUUCGGAUCGUAAAACUCUGUUAUUAGGGAAGAACAUAUGUGUAAGUAACUGUGCACAUCUUGACGGUACCUAAUCAGAAAGCCACGGCUAACUACGUG
rnacentral:rRNA from 1 species